UGAAAAUAAUCGUCAGUUGCAGCCCCAACCAAAAACACAACAAGACAUCUUCCCGUAAUACAGAGGUUAUAACAUUAUACACCUUUAAAUCCAAAACAAGA